ACUACAUCCUGGAAAGGAGACUACCAUACAACAUCUGUCUGUCAUCCUGUAGAAAUAUCUCAGGAAGAGGCUGUUGCUCUGAGAAAACGUCUUAACAUUAAGGCUGAGGAAGAUGUUUGCAAAGAACAAGUGAAGAGACCAUGGAGGAUUACUGUAAUUAUACUAGGGGAGAGAGAGAGAAAGAAAUGCUUCUAUCCUUUACUCUUCCUCCAAGCUUAUAAUAGAACUCCUUUAAAUAAGUUACUAAUUAUUUUGUUCUGUGGUGUCACUGAAGAGAAGGAAAUUUCUUCAGACCAAGGGGUUUCAGAAAACAGACCUAUUGUGAAAUGGACCAUGACAAUUGGUUCCUAUGACAACUCAGAAAGAAUGAAGAAAAGGUGGUUACAGGUAGAUGUAUAAUUCUGUGCUGAUUGACUCAAUGUUGUUACAUACAGUGUGCCCUGAAGUACCAGCUGUCAGGACUAUGACAACAUUAGAGUUGUUGCCACAUUUAUUAACCAAACCAUCUGUCACUGUAAGACAAACUUGAGGAUUUUUUUUCCCAAGACAACAGAGAGCAUCCAAAAAUCAGCAAGACCUGAUUAUUCAGUGUGAUAAACACCCAUGGGACAUCGUCUUAUUUGAUAUGACAUAAUGGGGUUCAAAAAACAAAGUGAAAAAAAAAUACUCUUAAUUGUCUCUGACCAUAGAAACAUUUGUAAAGUUAAAAGCAUUUCAGUCUGUUGCAGGUGGGAAAAUAGAACCUUUAUCAAAAGAUAUUAUUGUCUGCUCCAUCAUUGUUAGAAUUUUGGAUCAGUAGAAUCAAAUCUCAGAAGCUGAAAAUACUGAACUACAGUAUCUGAUACAUCAAUUGAUGGUACUAAUGCUGGACAGCUCAUGUCUUUAUUGAAGAAAAAAUUACUUUUCUGUAAAGCUGUGUCAGGACUCUUAGAAGACUAAUGCCUACUUCAGAUGAUUUUGAAGGUAGUCAAAGAUAUCCAUUGACAGUGACUACAGCAUUCAGUAAUCUCCCUGAAUGGUGACAAGACAGUGGUAGGAAAAAGUAAUAGCGUAGUUCUUCAAACACUACCUGAUACCUUAUGGUUCCACUACCUUACACAUCUGAAACCCCUUGAUAUAUUGGGAGAUUUUCUGACAAUCUCACCCUGCUGCCAUCUUCAAUAAUGCACAAUUGUAAAACAUUUAAAUGGCUUUGCUGACAUUAUCAGCAGCUAAAUGAACCCCACCAUUUUCUUAAUGACUAAAACAUGCAUGAGUGGAAAAUGGCCUUCUUCAGAGCAAAGGAGACCUGGCAUUAGUACUCAUUUCUAACUAUACUGGAGGAAAAGUUAAAACCUUCAGGAAGUUACAAGUAGCAGAUGGAAGAACAAUCUUCUGAUAUGUGGGAUUAUUUCCCUUGUAAACCAUGUAAACCAACACGAAACAGAAAACAAAAGGUCAGUAAUAACUUUAUCUGAGCAUUAAGCAUCAAUGCUUAAUGACAAAAUUUGUCUUUCUAUUCUUCAUCAUUAAUUCCUGGUAGGGCUGUGUCAGCAUUUUAUUUUAUUUUUAAUCUUUAUUGUUGUCUUGGUUUAACCCGGCCGGCAGCUAAACACCACACAGCUGUUCGCUCACCCUCCCCCCUCCCUUUCUGGGACGGGGGAGAGAAAUGGAAAGUGAAGCCCGUGAGUUGAGAUAAAGACAGUUUAAUAAGACAGGAUAAUAAUAAUAAUAAUAAUAAUAAUAAUAAUAAUAAUAAUAAUAAUAAUAAUAAUAAUAAUAUGACAAACAAGUGAUGCACAAUGCAAUUGCUCACCACCCGCUGACCGAUGCCCAGCCUAACCCCAAGCAGUCUGGCCCCCUCCCCCCGGCUAGCCACCCCUAUAUAUUGUUUAACAUGACGUCAGAUGGUAUGGAAUACCCCUUUGGCUAGUUUAGGUCACCUGUCCUGGGUCUGUCCCCUCCCAGCUCUUACUGCACCCCCAGCCUGCCCAUUGGCAGGACAGAGCAAGAAGCUGAGAUGUCCUUGGCUUAGUAUAAGCACUGCUUUGUAACAAUUAAAACAUCAGGGUGUUAUCAGCACUCUUCUCAUCCUAAGCCAAAACACAGCAUUCCACUAACUACUAGGAAGAAAAUUAACUCUGUUCUAACUGAAACCAGGACAAUUGUUUAAAGUUUAGGAGAGAAAAGUGAAAGAAAAAAGGUUUCUUACAUAGGAAAAGUAGUUACUACUUUGGACAAUUGGCAAAACUAGGCCUUGGACUGAAUCUUCUCUUUGUACAAGAUGUCAGAA
rnacentral:lncRNA from 1 species